ensembl:lncRNA SOX9-AS1 SOX9 antisense RNA 1
GGACUCUUCCUCCGAGAAGAUCUGAAAUGCAGUGAGCACUUUUGCUUGAAGACAGGGACUGAUUUUGGUAGCAUCCUUUGGUCUCUUCUAGUCUGGGAGUCAGAGAAAGUUUGCAUCAAAAUGUCAUCAGGCCAAAAACAAUCCAUUGAUACACUUGGUGACAUUAAUUGAGAAAAAAACAAUAUGGUCUGGCCAUGGAGGCAUGGUAUCCGUAACAUCCCCCAAAGGAGCUAAAGAAGAAAUCCACAAUUUACCAUGAGCAUUUCUCGUCUGAAGAUUGCCAAGCGAUUCCUCCAGGACAUUCCUCAAGAUCAAUUUCUGUUCAUCCACCUUGUCCUGGGAGGGACAUCAAUGGGUUUCCAUGUCCUUUGGCUUCUGGUUGAGUUCACUCAGUGGAGAACCCUGGCAAGAGGCAGGAAAAGGGGAGGAAGCAGCCUGACCGGUUUGAAUUUCACCUUCUGUUCACCUUGGAUGAGAGCAGUAAUCAUCACGAUCCCAGGGAACAGCCAAAGGAAGAGAAAAGGCAAAAGAUUUGGACAAGACUCAUGAAGACUAACAGCUCUUGGAUAAUUGAGAGAAGGCAGCUGCGUGAACAGUUUUGAUGCAAUCAUGAAGGCAGGGCCCAGUGCCUGUGGCAUCUGCCUUUUUCUGGAACCAAUCCAUAUUUCCUUGUGGUUUUCUAAGGUGCAGAGAGGGCACAUUGGGAACUUUGCUUGGGGUCUUUUUCACAUCUUAGAGGGAAGGUCCCUCAACAUCUGCAUUGGCGGAGUGUGAUCCUCAUGUCCCUCUGAAUGAUCUGGACUUGAGGUAACCAGCCCCUUCCAGGAAGCUGUCCCAUGAGUGAAGCCUCAGCAGCAGCCUCUGUCAGUCCCUCCCCCACAGAACCUUUGGCUUCCAUUUGACCAGCCUUGACAUCCAGUGUCCAAACACCGAUAAAAUUGAUUCCACUAAGCGUGGGAAAGUCCUGGAGCAUCGAUUGUUUCCUCCUCUGCACCCCCGAUACCCUGGCAUUAGCACUCUCCCAGAAUGUACCUUGCUUGUUUGAUUGGAGGAGGUCAAAGCCCUGAUGAAGAAUGAGUGGAAUUCCACAGGAUUGGAGCAGUCUUGAUAAAUGACAGCAGGGGAUGGUGUGGGGAGGGGAAAGGAUCAGAGGAAGUGUGGAUAAAUGAAUGGCUUAAAAAAUAAUCCACCUUUGCCUCCCCCUUUUCUACCAGUCUGUCUAGUGCUUCAGGGUGAAAAAAAAAAAAAAAAGCUUGCCUUUCUAAACAUUUGGAGUUUCAGAAAUGAUCUAUAGAGCAUGUUUAGUUUUUCAAGUUAAAAAUAUUAAAAGAAAAAAAAUGU